CGCGGGGUAGAGCAGUUGGUAGCUCGUCGGGCUCAUAACCCGGAGGUCAGAAGUUCGAGUCUUCUCCCCGCAACCA
rnacentral:tRNA from 1 species